CAGUAGCGCGGUAAUACGGAGGGUGCAAGCGUUAUCCGGAUUUAUUGGGUUUAAAGGGUCCGUAGGCGGAUCUGUAAGUCAGUGGUGAAAUCUCACAGCUUAACUGUGAAACUGCCAUUGAUACUGCAGGUCUUGAGUAAAUUUGAAGUGGCUGGAAUAAGUAGUGUAGCGGUGAAAUGCAUAGAUAUUACUUAGAACACCAAUUGCGAAGGCAGGUCACUAAGAUUUAACUGACGCUGAUGGACGAAAGCGUGGGGAGCGAACAGGAUUAGAUACCCGCGUAGUCCCUGUCUCUUAUACA
rnacentral:rRNA from 1 species